rnacentral:lncRNA from 1 species
UGCUGUACUGGAGGCCUGAGUUCGUCCUUAGACUUUUUUCUUGCUCCUAAUCCUGAGCACAAUAGGAGUAGCAGCUGUAGAGCUGUGGGCCUUCCUGCUACAAGUGGGGGCACCAGGUGAAGGGAUUUUGAAAGAGGCAAUGGCAGAGGGCCUUUCACCUGGGACAGAGCUCUGUCCCAGGGAGCACAGAGGUGCCAGGGCAAUCAGGUAAGAGAAAGAAAUAAAGGUAUUCAAAUAGGAAAGGAGGAAGUCAAAUUGUCACCGUUUGCAGAUAACAUGAUUGUAUAUUUA